rnacentral:misc_RNA from 1 species
CAAUCUUGAAAUUCAAACUCUAUAAAUCAGUUGGUGAAACACCUCCACCUGUAACUAAUUAUAUUGGUCGAGGGUUCAAGUCAUGUUGUAAGCAAGAACACAGAGAUAGCUAAAAGUGGCAUUAACCAACCCUGUAUAUGUAGAGCCCUAGAUCUUCCCAGCAAAUAUAAAAUGACGAUUUUAUCUGCUUUACCAAAUUGAGAAGAUGUCG